AUAUUUAUUUUGUAGAUGAAUGUAUAUAUAUAUCUUGCGAUAAGGCUGUAAUGGUUGAGCCAUCAGUCAACAAUCAAUCAAUCAAUCACAUUCCUGCGUAAUCGAAGGUUCUCUUAUUGUUUUUGUAAACUUAUUUAUAAUGCCUAAAACUUUGUGUUCAUAAAAUUUGGUAUACAAAAUAAGAAUUAUUAAUAAUAAUAAUAAUGAUAAUAAUAAUUACAAUAAUAGUAGCAUAGUAUAAACAUCAGUUAUGUAUUUAUACUAUGCAAUUUAAAUUAAAACGAUUUCUCAGACUUUUCGUUGUGCCAAAAAAAAAAAAAUAGUUUUCACUCUCUGACCGAGUACCGUUCACAUUCAUAUGGAUAUAGCUAUUGU